CCUGUAAUGGCUGCUUUCAGUCAGGCUGUGUCACGAGUAACCUCUUAGCCUCAGCAUCCGGAAGUUCCAAAGAGAAUAUUUCACGUUGGAUAGAAUUUUACAUAUACCAUUGUUUUUGGCAGGUUCAGCCCUCCAGAUCCUAACAUCAUGAAUUCAGUUCCAACACAACUGAUCUUAGUCCUUACUUCGCUGCUUUUGAUCCUGCCUGGCGUUGAAGCAGUCGAAGCUGGAGAUGCGAUUGCACUCUUAUUAGGUGUGGUUCUCAGUGUUACAGGCAUCUGUGCUUGCUUGGGGAUAUAUGCAAGAAAGCGAAAUGGACAGAUAUGACUUUGAAGGACUCUUCUGAAUUAGACUUCACCCUGACCAUUGUGCUGAAAACCCUUGUGCUGUUGAGGCCGAACCCAAGAUUUGCUCUCACCUGUCCUCAGAAAGAGGAUUACAGUUAGCUGAGGGUUAACACCCUCAGUUAAGAGAAUGCUUUCCUGUUCAUACUUGUUUCUCCUAUGAUGGGAGCAGAUGGGGUGGGGGGAGAGGCUCUUAACAACAAAGAGUGCAGUAAUAAUGUGGCCCAUAAUUUGUAUUUGCUGCUUGGGAGGUGGCCAAAGCGAGAGGGCUUAAGUUUGCAAAAGUAUUAUCUCAUACUUUGAAAGUGUUUGUUCAGAAUCUAGUAAAUCUACAUCGUUAUUAUAAUCACUGCCUCUUGCAUUCUGGGGGUUCUCUCUUUCAUUUGGGGGGUUGGAUUGGGUUUUGGAUUUGUUUUUUUGUUGUUACUGUUUUCUUUUUAAUGCUUCUGUUUUUAACAUAGUUGUACUUAGAUCUUAAUAGCCAAAAAUUGAAACUUUUAACUCUGAGGAAAAGUUUAAUAAAAAUGUAUUAAAUGUAUCUAAUACUAAAAUGGUGAAAAUAUUUGUUAAAAAAAUAACUAUACAUUAAAAAAAAAAAAAAAAAAAAAAAAA
rnacentral:lncRNA from 1 species